GUAGGAAGAAAGAGUAGACAGGGGCUUUUGAUAUGGACUGGAUGGUCAGGAAUUAGGGAGAAUUCAACCUAGCAGAUUUCCUGGAGGAAAGAGAAGAAAUCGGACUGAGUACAGCGUGUGGUACUGACCCUUAUUUUAUGAUGAUUCCUUCACUAUAUCCCAGUGCAGUUACUAACAGAAAUGGGGUGAACAGAUCUGAGGAAUUUGGAUUUGACCUUCUGGACACCACUUGAAAUCCCCAGCCAGAGGCGCAUAGCUGUCCACUUGAACUUUAUCGUUUGACCACUCGAGACUCCUUCAUGCUGUGGGUAACUGUUGUUUGGGGGCGUUUGUGUGUGCUUGAAACUAAAUAAAGCAGAGACUUUGAGAAAAGGCAUUCUUGUGAGUGCUGGAGACUAAUCAAGUGAAGGCUUUAAGUAAAAGCACUUGAUUUUGUGUAUGCUAGAUGGUUGCCAUAAAUCAGAUGGAUGUGCUGUGUCUCCAUGGAUUUAUUUCCUGAUACUGCAUUGCAGAGAGUAAAGUGUCUGUCUGAGAGCACUGGGUUUCAGGUAACAAGGGACUCUGAAAGCACUAAAGGCCACUGCCUUCUUGGGCUAAUCUUUUGGCUCUGAUCCUGCAAUAAGCUUCUCAUGAACAGACUUCUGUUCCCACCUAGAAUUUCAAUAAAAACAGGAGAGCUCCAUGCAAGUGCAGGGAUCUGCUCACAUAUUACCUAUUGCAGAAACUGGGCCAUUGGCCUCCUCUACAUUAUAUUAAAAAAAAUAAAUCUAUAUUCUAUCAACUACCACCAAGAUACAAUGGUAACAAUGCCAGAGUCCUGUCUACUCUGAGCAUUCUUUGCAGUGAUUGUGGAAGUUGCUAUAAUUGGAGCUCAUUCUGGUGCAGAGAAGGCCUUAUAUUUUAGCAAAGUAUAUUACUCCUUAAUUUUAUCUUAGUUUUGUCAUGUGAGGAAGAAAAAUGAACACGGUCCAUAGUUAGAAGGCUCUGAAUAGUGUGUUCAUACUGCGCAUGAACUGUGUGGAAUUUCCUAUAGUGCCCUUAUUCUGCAGAAGAAUGGCCAUUAAUGUUCUCAGCUAGAAUGUUGAAAGUCAUGAGUAUGAGUCUCACUUAAUCUCACCCUGAAACACCAUUUCUAGUUUCCCCCAGCUGCAGAACCAUUACCUUAUCAAUUGGGUUAGGGAUGUCAAAGGUGAUAGGACAUGAUGCUGGCGACGUCACUCCCACGUGUACUAUUAGCUAUGAAACUAAUGUGCCUUAAGCCCAUCAAUCUGAUGAGCCAUUGCUUGGUGGCACUUUGACAUGCUUGUGAUGUUUAGUAAUCACUUCAAACUUCAUGUCCCUGCAAGAACUAUGCUUGAUUCAGUGUCUGGUUCCAAGUGGCUAUGUGUAACAACAAGAGCUUCAUAAUACACUGCCCAGACUCUCUCUGUGGCUUCUGAUACCACAAUGCUAAAUAUUGACAUUAGUAAGCUUUGCUGGCUCUUUAAAACAAGAAAUGGGCUAAACCGGAUCAGAUCACUUUGGGUACCUCCAGAAGGGCUUGGCCUGAGCAUUUUUUAUUUAUUUAUUUAUUUAUUUUGUGCCACACCUGCAAGACAUUAUGCCAGCAGACUGGCCAACAGAAGUAGAUGUUGGUCAAAUGAAUUGGUGAUCCUUGGAUGGAAGCUGCUAAAUAAAGGAUUUGUAUAAGUAGUAUUAAUCAGGUAACAAUCUAAUAAAGAAAAGGGCAUGGGUCCUAAAUAGAAGCUUGUAUGGCCUAUAAAGCUUUUUGGUUCAAUCAAAAUAUUUUUCUCUCUUGAAGGCUAUUUCCCCCUCAUCAUGCUAUAUUAAUGGUGCUGUUUUUUGUUUUUAAACUACUUUUGAGCUUUUGAUUAGUUAUAACCUAGUGAGUCAAGUCAGAACCAAUUACUCAGGUAAAUACAUCCUUAAGUUUCAGUUCUCACCCACUCUGAGUUAAAAUGGAAAUACCACCAAAAGUGAAUAGAAGUUGUGAUAUGAAAGCAAUAUAUUCUGGAAGAUUUCAUUUUCAAGCUAUUCUUAAUAUGUUACUGUUAUGCUGUCUUAGAAAUGGUUUUUUAAAUUGUUCAUAUCACUUAUCAAAUGACUUUACAGCUGCUGACUAUAUUAAAGAAACAGUCUAACACCAUGCCUCUGCAUAAAACCGUGCAGUAAAAUGUUAUUGAACAUUUCACAGAUGAAAAUAAAACUUAAAAUCU